rnacentral:rRNA from 1 species
AUACACUGUACAAUGGAUUUCUCGGCUCCCACAUCGAUGAAGAACGCAGCAAAGCGCGAUAGGUAGUGUGAAUUGCAGAAUACCGUGAAUCAUCGAAUUUUUGAACGCAUAUUGCGCCCGGGUUUGAGCCUGGGCAUGUCUGCCUCAGCGUCGAUU